rnacentral:rRNA from 1 species
AUUGAACGCUGGCGGCAGGCCUAACACAUGCAAGUCGAACGAGUGGCGGACGGGUGAGUAAUGUCUGGGCAACUGCCCGAUGGAGGGGGAUAACUACUGGAAACGGUAGCUAAUACCGCAUACCAUCUGAUGUACCCAGAUGGGAUUUGCUAGUAGGUGGGUUAAUGGCUCACCUAGGAGACGAUCCCUAGCUGGUCUGAGAGUAUGACCAGCAAAACGGGAACUGAAACCGGGCCCAGACUCCUACGGGAGGAAGAAGAGGGGAAUAUUGCACAAUGGGGGAAAGCCUGAUGCAGACAUGCCGGGUGUAUGAAGAAGGCCUUCGGGUUGUAAAGUACUUUGAGAGGGGAGGCGUUACCUGCAGAAGAAGCACCGGCUAACUCCGUGCCAGCAGCCGCGGUAAUAC